UACGAAGGGGGCGAGCGUUGUUCGGAAUUACUGGGCGUAAAGGGCGCGCAGGCGGCCUUAGAAGUCAGAUGUGAAAGCCCCGGGCUCAACCUGGGAAUGGCAUUUGAUACUCUGAGGCUGGAGUACGGGAGAGGAGAGUGGAAUUCCCAGUGUAGAGGUGAAAUUCGUAGAUAUUGGGAAGAACACCGGUGGCGAAGGCGGCUCUCUGGACCGUAACUGACGCUGAGGCGCGAAAGCGUGGGGGAGCAAACA
rnacentral:rRNA from 1 species